rnacentral:rRNA from 1 species
AUACGGAGGAUGCGAGCGUUAUCCGGAUUUAUUGGGUUUAAAGGGUGCGUAGGCUGUGCGUUAAGUCAGGGGUGAAAUGCCGUCGCUCAACGACGGAGCUGCCCUUGAUACUGGCGUGCUGGAGUACGGAUGCCGUUGGAGGAAUGAGUGGUGUAGCGGUGGAAUGCUUAGAUAUCACUCAGAACACCGAUUGCGAAGGCAUCUGACGAAUCCGUCACUGACGCUGAGGCACGAAAGCGUGGGGAUAGAACAGGAUUAGAUACCCUGGUAUUCCACGCCGUAAACGAUGAUGACUAACCGUCGGCGAUAGACAGCCGGUGGCCAAGCGAAAGCGAUAAGUCAUCCACCUGGGGAGUACGUCGGCAACGACGAAACUCAAAUGAAUUGACGGGG